GACGAACGCUGGCGGCGUGCUUAAUACAUGCAAGUCAACGAUUUUUAAGAUAGCAAUAUUUUAAAAAUAGUGGCGCACGGGUGAGUAACACGUAGAUAAUCUGCCUUUAGGUCUGACAUAACUCGUCGAAAGACGGGCUAAUAUCAGAUAAAACAAUAACUUGGCAUCAAGUAAUUGUCAAAAGCUUCGGCGCCCAAAGAUGAGUCUGCGGACCAUUAGGUAGUUGGUGGAUUAACAGCCCACCAAGCCAACGAUGGAUAGCUGGUCUGAGAGGAUGAUCAGCCACACUGGAACUGAGACACGGUCCAGACUCCUACGGGAGGCAGCAGUAAGGAAUAUGCUCAAUGGGAGAAAUCCUGAAGCAGCAACGCCGCGUGAAGGAAGAAGGGUCUUCGACUUGUAAAC
rnacentral:rRNA from 1 species